GUAGGGUCCAAGCGUUAAUCGGAAUUACUGGGCGUAAAGCGUGCGUAGGCGGUCUCGCAAGUCCGAUGUGAAAUCCCCGGGCUUAACCUGGGAACUGCGUUGGAAACUAUGAGGCUUGAGUGCGGCAGAGGGGGGUGGAAUUCCAGGUGUAGCAGUGAAAUGCGUAGAGAUCUGGAGGAACACCGAUGGCGAAGGCAGCCCCCUGGGUCAGCACUGACGCUCAUACACGAAAGCGUGGGGAGCAAACAGGAUUAGAUACCCUGGUAGUCCACGCCCUAAACUAUGGCAACUAGUUGUUGGAGGAUGAACUCCUUUAGUAACGCAGCUAACGCGUGAAGUUGCCCGCCUGGGGAGUACGGUCGCAAGAUUA
rnacentral:rRNA from 1 species